rnacentral:lncRNA from 1 species
GCCCCGGCGCGCCACCCCAGGAGCCCCGGCGCGCCACCCCAGGAGCCCCGGCGCGCCACCCCAGGAGCCCCGGCGCGCCACCCCAGGAGCCCCGGCGCGCCACCCCAGGAGCCCCGGCGCGCCACCCUCCCCCGGAGGGGGAUCCCGGCGCGCCACCCUCCCCGGCAACAACCUGUUGCCAUGUAUUGCGAUUUGUAUCAGUCACAAGCACACAACCCCUUCUAGUAUUAAUGAUGUUUAAAACGUUCUACACGUACGGCGGACCGCAUCCGUCGCAAGCACGCGCAUAUAACCCCCAAAUGCACCAUGAUGAGAAGCACAGCCACGCGUCAAAAAACUUUAAAAACAUCGUUAUCCAAUAUUAAAAACCACACCGAAAUUUACACAGGUGGCACGUUACCGUGUUAGUGUCACCCACUGUACACAAGGCGUGUCGUAUAUGUAGUAUAGGUAUUUGAUGAGGCGGAAGCAUAUCCCGCUUCCAGCGAACGGAAAUAAGGAUCAUCCGUUCCAGCAUUUAUUCAAAGGGGGCACAGAGGGUUCACAUUGUUUAGAGAGAGUUUUUCUUAGUAACCAUUCCAUACUUUGGCAGUAUUGGCCUACGAUUUGGGCGACGUUUCAGGCUGGUCUAUUCUCCGUCCACUUUUCCCCGGCUAUUCUGUCCCAGCAUAGGCUCUUGAAAUAAACAAUGUUUACCGAGUAAAA